AUGUGUGUAUGGGGGACCCCAUGCAUACAGCACAGGAACAAGUGUGUGUGUAUGUUUGUGUGUGUGUGUGUGUACGGGGAGGUCCCCAUGCACACAGCACAGGUACAGUGUGUGUGCAUGUAUGUGUGUGUGUGUGUGUGUGUACGGGUGGCCCCCAAGCACACAGCCCAGGUACAAGUGUGUGUGUGUGUGUUUGUGUGUGUGUGUGUGUGUACAGGUGGCCCCCAUGCACACAGCACAGGCACAAGUGUGUGUGCAUGUAUGUUUGUGUGUGUGUGUGUGUGUGUGUGUACAGGGAAGUCCUCAUGCACACAGCACAGGUACAAGCGUGUGUGCAUGUAUGUGUGUGUGUGUAUAUGGGUGGCCCCCAUGCACACAGCCCAGGUACAAGCGUGUAUAUGUGUGUGUGUGUACGGGUGGCCCCCAUGUACACAGCACAGGCACAAGCAUUUGUGUGUGUGUGUGUGUGUACAGGGGGUCCCCAUGCACACAGCCCAGGCACAAGUGUGUGUGUGUGUGUGUGAGUACAGGGAGGCCCCCAUGCACACUGCACAGGCACAAGCGUGUGUGCAUGUGUGUGUGUGUGUGUGUACGGGUGGCCCCCAUGCACACAGCACAGGUACAAGCGUGUGUGCAUGUAUGUGUGUGUGUGUGGACACCAACAGGUCCACCUGUGAAAGAGGGAAAUGGGGCUGGGAGGCCCGGCUGGAGGACCAGGGGUGGGGGACUUCCUACACGAUGGCUGCCUGGCAGCUCCUGACUCAGGAUGGGCCCCGAGGACUCAUGGGAACACUACGGGGCGAGCGGCAGAUUCAGAAGAGGGGCCCGUGGGUCCCAAAGACGCCGUCCCCGUGCCCAGCACCAGCCUCCCCUGGAGCCGCACCGUGUGCCUGUGUGCAUCGCCCAGGCAGCCUCCAUCCGAGGAAAAGACACCUCCCCCUGCUGCAAUGUCACGUGCUGCCUUCCAAGGAGAUGUGGGGUCUCUGGGUGUCAGGGGGAGGCCUGGAGCCCAAGCCCACCCCAGACAGCCCUCACUGUUCACUGCAGCCCCGGGACAGGCCAGGAAGCUGGGGUAUGGGAGUUGCUGUUGAUGGGGGCCCAGGAAGCAGUGUGGAAGGAGGCCUGGUGGAGGCCUGGCGCCACCCACACCCUGCCCAGGCCCAUCCUCCCAGGAAUGCAUGGGGGCAGCCAGAAGGGACAGGCCCCAUCCUGCCGGGCUCCCUGCCACCUGGGACCGGCCGCCAAGCUGCCUGA
rnacentral:lncRNA from 1 species